rnacentral:rRNA from 1 species
UGGGGAAUUUUGGACAAUGGGCGAAAGCCUGAUCCAGCCAUGCCGCGUGUGUGAAGAAGGCCUUCGGGUUGUAAAGCACUUUCGGCCGGAACGAAAUCGCGCGGGCGAAUAUCCCGCGUGGAUGACGGUACCGGAAGAAGAAGCACCGGCUAACUACGUGCCAGCAGCCGCGGUAAUACGUAGGGUGCGAGCGUUAAUCGGAAUUACUGGGCGUAAAGUGUGCGCAGGCGGCGUCGCAAGUCGAGUGUGAAAGCUCCGGGCUUAACUUGGGAACUGCGCUCGAAACUACGGUGCUGGAGUGUGGCAGAGGAAGGUGGAAUUCCACGUGUAGCGGUGAAAUGCGUAGAGAUGUGGAGGAACACCGAUGGCGAAGGCAGCCUUCUGGGCCAACACUGACGCUCAUGCACGAAAGCGUGGGGAGCAAACAGGAUUAGAUACCCUGGUAGUCCACGCCUAAACGAUGAUGACUAGUGUUGGGGAGUUAAAUCCCUUAGUAACG